UACAGAGGUCUCAACCGUUGUUCGGAUUUACUGGGCGUAAAGGGUGCGUAGGCGGUCGCGUAAGUCAGGUGUGAAAUCCCGGGGCUCAACCCCGGAACUGCACUUGAUACUGCGUGGCUAGGGUACUGGAGAGGAGACUGGAAUUUACGGUGUAGCAGUGAAAUGCGUAGAUAUCGUAAGGAAGACCAGUGGCGAAGGCGGCUUUCUGGUCUGUAACUGACGCUGAGGCGCGAAAGCGUGGGGAGCAAACAGG
rnacentral:rRNA from 1 species